rnacentral:rRNA from 1 species
UAAGUAAAGGUGUGAAAUAGUACGGCUCAACCGUAUAAACAUACUUUAAACUGAUGAGCUAGAGGAUGAGAGAGGUUAUUGGGAAUUUCUUGUGUAGGAGUGAAAUCCGUAGAUAUAAGAAGGAACACCGAUGGCGUAGGCAGAUAACUGGCUCAUUCCUGACGCUCAGACACGAAAGCGUGGGGUAGCAAACGGGAUUAGAUACCCCGGUAGUCCACGCUGUAAACGAUGGAUGCUA